CGGAGGGUGUAAGCGUUAUCCGGAUUUAUUGGGGUUUAAAGGGUCCGUAGGCGGAUUAAUAAGUCAGUGGUGAAAGCCCGCAGCUUAACUGUGGAACUGCCAUUGAUACUGUUAGUCUUGAGUGUAGUUGAAGUGGCUGGAAUGAGUAGUGUAGCGGUGAAAUGCAUAGAUAUUACUCAGAACACCAAUUGCGAAGGCAGGUCACUAAGUUACAACUGACGCUGAUGGACGAAAGCGUGGGGGAGCGAACAGGAUU
rnacentral:rRNA from 1 species